UGUAAGAAAAGUGAAACAUCGCAGAAAUUUACAAACGGAGAAAGCAUGGCGGCCGUCUCGUGAAGUCAAUUCACGAGUGAAUUCAAAUUGUGCUCGAUAAAGUUUGGUUGAGUUAACAGCAGAGCCAUGGUUAGAAAUUAUGUUCGAAAGACAGACCACGGGUCCUGGAGUGAGAGUAAUAUGAAAGAGGCAAUAAAAAGUGUCAUCAAGAAUGAAAUGCCCCUUAGACAAGCAGCCAGGACUUUUGGUGUUCCAAAGGACACAUUGAAUA